rnacentral:rRNA from 1 species
ACGUAGGUGGCAAGCGUUAUCCGGAAUUAUUGGGCGUAAAGCGCGCGUAGGCUUUUUCUUCCUUCUUCUUUUCCCUCCCCCUUCUCCCCCUUGGAUUUUCAUUGGAAACUGGAAAACUUGAGUGCAGAAGAGGAAAGUGGAAUUCCAUGUGUAGCGGUGAAAUGCGCAGAGAUAUGGAGGAACACCAGUGGCGAAGGCGACUUUCUGGUCUGUAACUGACGCUGAUGUGCGAAAGCGUGGGGAUCAAACAG